GCCUACAUAGCUCAGUAGGUAGAGCGCAUCCUUGGUAAGGAUGAGGUCUCCGGUUCGACUCCGGAUGUAGGCUCCA
rnacentral:tRNA from 1 species